rnacentral:rRNA from 1 species
AGAAAACAAACAGGAUAUUUUCCUUUGGAAAAAUCCGUAGUGAUUCCGUCAGUAGCGGCGAGCGAACGCGGAUUAGCCCAAACCUGGGAGCUUGCUCCCAGGGGUUGUGGGACGUCUCACAUGGAGUUACAAAGGUGUUCAUUAAUUGAAGAGGUCUGGAAAGGCCCGCCAUAGAAGGUAACAGCCCUGUAGGUGAAAGUCAGCACCCUCCGAGACGGAUCCCGAGUAGUGCGGGGCACGUGAAACCCCGUAUGAAUCCGGCAGGACCAUCUGCCAAGGCUAAAUACUACCUGGCGACCGAUAGUGAAGCAGUACCGUGAGGGAAAGGUGAAAAGCACCCCGGGAGGGGAGUGAAAUAGAACCUGAAACCGUGUGCCUACAAGAAGUCAGAGCACAAUUAAAGUGUGAUGGCGUGCCUUUUGUAGAAUGAACCGGCGAGUUACGUUUGCGUGCAAGGUUAAGGUGGGAAGCCGGAGCCGAAGCGAAAGCGAGUCUGAAUAGGGCGAAGUAAGUACGUAGACGUAGACCCGAAACCGGGUGAUCUACCCCUGUCCAGGGUGAAGGUCAGGUAACACUGACUGGAGGCCCGAACUCACGAGCGUUGAAAAGCUCGGGGAUGAGGUGGGGGUAGCGGAGAAAUUCCAAUCGAACUCGGAAAUAGCUGGUUCUCCCCGAAAUAGCUUUAGGGCUAGCCUUGGGUGCAGAAUUAUGGAGGUAGAGCACUGAUUGGGUGCGGGGCCCGCCAAGGGUUACCAAGUCUAGUCAAACUCCGAAUGCCAUGGAUUUUUGCCCAGGAGUCAGACGGUGAGUGCUAAGAUCCAUCGUCAAGAGGGAAACAGCCCAGACCAUCAGCUAAGGUCCCCAAGUGUGUGUUAAGUGGGAAAGGAUGUGGAGUUGCACAGACAACCAGGAUGUUGGCUUAGAAGCAGCCACCAUUGAAAGAGUGCGUAAUAGCUCACUGGUCGAGUGACUCUGCGCCGAAAAUGUAACGGGGCUAAACACGCCACCGAAGCUAUGGAUGCGCAUUUCUAACGAAAUGCUCGUGGUAGGGGAGCGUUCCAAGCAGCGUUGAAGGUUGACCGGAAGGACAGCUGGAGCGCUUGGAAGUGAGAAUGCCGGUAUAAGUAACGAAAAGACAAGUGAGAAUCUUGUCCGCCGAAAGCCCAAGGUUUCCUGAGGAAGGUUCGUCCGCUCAGGGUAAGUCGGGACCUAAGGCGAGGCCGAAAGGCGUAGUCGAAGGACAACAGGUUGAAAUUCCUGUACCACCGGAAGCCGUUAUGAGCGAUGGGGUGACGCAGGAGGGAAGAGACGCAGGCGGAUGGAAGAGCCUGUCCAAGCAGUAAGGGGGAUGUGUAGGCAAAUCCGCACAUCGACAACCUUGAGCUGUGACUGGGGAGGGGAACUUAAGUACCCGAAGGUCUUGGACUCACACUGCCAAGAAAAGCCUCUAGCCAGGUGAAGGUGCCCGUACCGUAAACCGACACAGGUAGGCGAGAAGAGAAUUCUAAGGCGCGCGGAAGAACUCUCGUUAAGGAACUCGGCAACAUGACCCCGUAACUUCGGGAGAAGGGGUGCCUCGGUAGGGUGAAUAGCCCGAGGGGGCCGCAGUGAAAAGGCCCAAGCGACUGUUUAGCAAAAACACAGGUCUGUGCGAAGCCGUAAGGCGAAGUAUACGGGCUGACGCCUGCCCGGUGCUGGAAGGUUAAGAGGAGAGGUUAGGGGCAACCCGAAGCUUUGAAUUGAAGCCCCAGUAAACGGCGGCCGUAACUAUAACGGUCCUAAGGUAGCGAAAUUCCUUGUCAGGUAAAUUCUGACCCGCACGAAUGGCGUAACGACUUGGGCGCUGUCUCAACGAGAGAUCCGG